rnacentral:rRNA from 1 species
GACGAACGCUGGCGGCGUGCUUAACACAUGCAAGUCGAACGCUGAAGCUCAGCUUGCUGGGUGGAUGAGUGGCGAACGGGUGAGUAACACGUGAGUAACCUGCCCUCUUCUUUGGGAUAACGCCCGGAAACGGGUGCUAAUACUGGAUAUUCACUGAUUCUCGCAUGGGGGUUGGUGGAAAGGUUUUUUCUGGUGGGGGAUGGGCUCGCGGCCUAUCAGCUUGUUGGUGGGGUGAUGGCCUACCAAGGCUUUGACGGGUAGCCGGCCUGAGAGGGUGACCGGGCACCUUGGGACUGGGAUACGGCCCAGACGCAUGCGGGAGGCAGGAGUGGGGAAUAUUGCACAAUGGGCGAAAGGCGGAUGCAGCGACGACGCGUGAGGGAUGGAGGCCUUCGGGGUGGAAACCUCUUUCGCGCAUGGUUGAGCCGCAGCUUUGGGUUGUGGUGAGGGUAGUGGGUAAAGAAGCGCCGGCUAACUACGUG